rnacentral:rRNA from 1 species
CGCGUAGGCGGAAGGACAAGUUAGGGGUGAAAGGCCUGGGCUCAACCUGGGAACUGCCUCUAAAACUGUUUUUCUAGAGUCCGGAAGAGGAUGGCGGAAUUCCCAGUGUAGAGGUGAAAUUCGUAGAUAUUGGGAAGAACACCAGUGGCGAAGGCGGCCAUCUGGUCCGGAACUGACGCUGAGGCGCGAAAGCGUGGGGAGCAAACAGGAUUAGAUACCCUGGUAGUCC